rnacentral:rRNA from 1 species
CCCGCACAAGCGGUGGAGCAUGUGGUUUAAUUCGAUGAUACGCGAGGAACCUUACCUGGGCUCAAAUGUAUGUUGACGUAUUCUGAAAGGGAUACUUCUUCGGACAAUAUACAAGGUGCUGCAUGGUUGUCGUCAGCUCGUGCCGUGAGGUGUCGGGUUAAGUCCCAUAACGAGCGCAACCCCUAUCAUUAGUUGCCAUCAGGUCAAGCUGGGGACUCUAAUGAAACUGCCUACGCAAGUAGUGAGGAAGGUGGGGAUGACGUCAAAUCAGCACGGCCCUUACGUCCAGGGCUACACACGUGCUACAAUGGCCGGUACAAAGGGCAGCUACCUGGUGACAGGAUGCUAAUCUCAAAAGCCGGUCUCAGUUCGGAUCGAAGUCUGCAACCCGACUUCGUGAAGCUGGAUUCGCUAGUAAUCGCGCAUCAGCCAUGGCGCGGUGAAUACGUUCCCGGGCCUU